CCCCGGUAAACGGCGGCCGUAACUAUAACGGUCCUAAGGUAGCGAAAUUCCUUGUCGGGUAAGUUCCGACCUGCACGAAUGGCGUAAUGAUGGCCAGGCUGUCUCCACCCGAGACUCAGUGAAAUUGAACUCGCUGUGAAGAUGCAGUGUACCCGCGGCAAGACGGAAAGACCCCGUGAACCUUUACUAUAGCUUGACACUGAACAUUGAGCCUUGAUGUGUAGGAUAGGUGGGAGGCUUUGAAGUGUGGACGCCAGUCUGCAUGGAGCCGACCUUGAAAUACCACCCUUUAAUGUUUGAUGUUCUAACGUGGACCCGUAAUCCGGGUUGCGGACAGUGUCUGGUGGGUAGUUUGACUGGGGCGGUCUCCUCCUAAAGAGUAACGGAGGAGCACGAAGGUUGGCUAAUCCUGGUCGGACAUCAGGAGGUUAGUGCAAUGGCAUAAGCCAGCUUGACUGCGAGCGUGACGGCGCGAGCAGGUGCGAAAGCAGGUCAUAGUGAUCCGGUGGUUCUGAAUGGAAGGGCCAUCGCUCAACGGAUAAAAGGUACUCCGGGGAUAACAGGCUGAUACCGCCCAAGAGUUCAUAUCGACGGCGGUGUUUGGCACCUCGAUGUCGGCUCAUCACAUCCUGGGGCUGAAGUAGGUCCCAAGGGUAUGGCUGUUCGCCAUUUAAAGUGGUACGCGAGCUGGGUUUAGAACGUCGUGAGACAGUUCGGUCC
rnacentral:rRNA from 1 species